CCCAAAAUUCUUGUCUUAGAUUUGUCUAGAUACGGAUGUAUCAAGUCACAUUUUAGUAUUAGAUACAUCCGUAUCUAGACAAAUCUAAGACAAGAAAUUUGGGACAGAGGGAGUAGUUG
rfam:Triticum aestivum genome assembly, contig: Triticum_aestivum_CS42_TGACv1_scaffold_254979_3DL